GCCCAGGUGGUGUAGCGGUCUAGCAUUCUGGCCUGUCACGCCGGCGACCGGGGUUCGAAUCCCCGCCUGGGCG
rnacentral:tRNA from 1 species